rnacentral:rRNA from 1 species
AAGGGUGCGUAACACGUGGGCAAUCUGCCGGGAAAUGGGGGAUAGCUCGCCGAAAGGCGAAUUAAUACCGCAUGUGGCCAUCGAAGGAUUCUUCGAGACGCCAAAGUCGGGGCAACCUGACGUUUCCUGAUGAGCCCGCGGCCUAUCAGCUAGUUGGCGGGGUAACAGCCCACCAAGGCUAUGACGGGUAGCUGGUCUGAGAGGACGACCAGCCACACUGGAACUGAGACACGGUCCAGACACCUACGGGUGGCAGCAGUCGAGAAUUUUUCUCAAUGGGGGAAACCCUGAAGGAGCGACGCCGCGUGAAGGAUGAAGGUCUUCGGAUUGUAAACUUCUGUCAUUAGAGAACAAUUGCACGGGCAGUAACUGGCUCGUGUUUGAUAGUAUCUGAAGAGGAAGGGACGGCUAACUCUGUGCCAGCAGCCGCGGUAAUACAGAGGUCCCAAGCGUUGUUCGGAUUCAUUGGGCGUAAAGGGUGCGUAGGCGGUGCCGUAAGUCGGAUGUGAAAUCCCGGAGCUCAACUCCGGAACUGCAUUCGAUACUGCGGUGCUUGAGGACUGGAGAGGAGAUCGGAA